CUCUAUCCCUCUUUGCCCGUUACUUUUAUUCAUCCGUUGGUAACCCGAGUACCUUCGGUGUAAUACGACCCCUCUCGUCGUCUCCGCUCGACCUGGUAAAGACCGAGGUGGCCCCACACGGAAGCGCCGUCCGUUCCAAGAAGAGAAAGUGACGCCAUCCUCGGACGCUCCUCCCGGGACCGGCCGCGUCGUUCUGUCCACCGCUCCAACAGGACUCGUAAACGUCGUCGGCUAUUCGCCUCCCGCCCGUCACCCACCACCCGUCCUCCUCCCUUUCCGGACCAAUUCCUUCCGUCUCUUUGGCCGGAAGGGGAUGGAAUCUCUGGGUUUAAGGCUCCGCGCCGGUUUCGGGAGCGCCGCUUACCUGGCGGAGAGAGGAAAGUGGUAGGCGGUGGGAGGAGAUUCCUCCCUCCGGCGCUCUCCACGCUCCGUCGAUCGACCGGAAGUGGAAAAAGGGCGGCCGCGUUCCGCCGGCCGCGCGCCGGUUUCUCGGCCCGCGUGCAAAACGCCCAUAUAUCGGGAGCGCCGUCCGUCGUCGUCACUCGUCGCCCGUUCGCCGACUCCGACAUGUCCGACUCCAAAGGUUGCUGCGACGACGCCAAGGACUGUUGCCGGGAAGAAGAUGGCCGUCGGGAGGAAGGAAAGUGUUCCGGAGUGGAAGGAUCCGACUGUUGCCACGCUGCCGAUCCCUGUUGCGACCGGGAGAAGGAAUGCUGCGGAGGAGACUCGUGCCGCUGCCCCGAAGGGCGUUGCCCUUGCAAGUAGAAGCGGCUUCUUCCCGCCGCACGUAAUCCGGGUCUUCCUCUUCCUAGUUCCUAACAUGUGAUCCAAUAAAGAUUUUUCGCUCUCUA